rnacentral:rRNA from 1 species
UACGUAGGUGGCAAGCGUUGUCCGGAAUUAUUGGGCGUAAAGCGCGCGCAGGUGGUUUCUUAAGUCUGAUGUGAAAGCCCACGGCUCAACCGUGGAAGGUCAUUGGAAACUGGGGAACUUGAGUGCAGAAGAGGAAAGUGGAAUUCCAAGUGUAGCGGUGAAAUGCGUAGAGAUUUGGAGGAACACCAGUGGCGAAGGCGCUGGGCUGGACGGUUAUUGACGCUGAGGUGCGAAAGCGUGGGGAGCAAACAGG